CUGGCUCAGGAUGAACGCUAGCGACAGGCUUAACACAUGCAAGUCGAGGGGCAGCACGGGAGUAGCAAUACAACUGGUGGCGACCGGCGCACGGGUGAGUAAAGCAUAAGAAUCUGCCUUUUGGAGUGGGAUAGCUCGAAGAAAUUCGGAUUAAUACCGCAUGAAGUCUAAGGAUAAAAGGGGGCUAGAAAUAGCUUUCGCCAAGAGAUGAGCUUAUGUGAGAUUAGCUAGUUGGAGUGGUAAAGGCACCCCAAGGCGAAGAUCUCUAGCCGAUUUUAGAGAAUGGUCGGCCACACUGGGACUGAGAUACGGCCCAGACUCCUACGGGAGGCAGCAGUGGGGAAUAUUGGACAAUGGGGGCAACCCUGAUCCAGCCAUGCCGCGUGUGUGAAGAAGGCCUUAGGGUUGUAAAGCACUUUUGACGGGGAAGAAGUGACAGUGGUUAAUACCUGCUGUCAUUGACAUGAACUGUAGAAAAAGCACCGGCCAACUCCGUGCCAGCAGCCGCGGUAAUACGGAGGGUGCGAGCGUUAAUCGGAAUUACUGGGCGUAAAGGGCGUGUAGGCGGAUGAAUAAGUUGGAUGUGAAAUCCCCGAGCUUAACUUGGGAACAGCAUACAAAACUGUUGAUCUAGAGUGUAGUAGAGGACGAUGGAAUUUUCUGUGUAGCAGUAAAAUGCUUAGAGAUUGAAAGGAACACCAGAGGCGAAGGCGAUCGUCUGGGCUACAACUGACGCUGAGGCGCGAAAGCGUGGGGAGCAAACAGGAUUAGAUACCCUGGUAGUCCACGCUGUAAAUGGUGGAGACUGGCUGUCGGUGAGAAUCGGUGGCGAAGCUAACGCGUUAAGUCUCCCGCCUGGGGAGUACGGCCGCAAGGUUAAAACUCAAAGGAAUUGACGG
rnacentral:rRNA from 1 species